rnacentral:rRNA from 1 species
AUUGAACGCUGGCGGCAGGCCUAACACAUGCAAGUCGAGCGAGCGGCGGACGGGUGAGUAAUGUAUGGGGACUGCCCGAUAGAGGGGGAUAACAAAUGGAAACGGUAGCUCAUACCGCAUACUACCGACUAACCCAUAGGGGAUUAGCUAGUAGGGGAGGUAAUGGCUCACCUAGGCGACGAGUCCUAGCUGGUCUGAGAGGAUGAUCAGCCACACUGGGACUGAGACACGGCCCAGACUCCUACGGAGGCAGCAGUGGGGAAUAUUGCACAAUGGGCGCAAGCCUGAUGCAGCCAUGCCGCGUGUAUGAAGAAGGCCCUAGGGUUGUAAAGUACUUUCAGUCGGGAGGCGUUACCGACAGAAGAAGCACCGGCUAACUCCGUGCCAGCAGCCGCGGUAAUAC